ACUGACAACCAGUAUAACUGGGAGCUACUUCCAUCAUUUCCCAGUAGUUCUGCCGACUUUUGUGUUAGUUACUGUCGCUAUGAUGAAACAUCAUGACCAAAAGCAAGUUGUGGAGGAAAGGGCUGCCUCCACCCUCCCCGCCUCAGUGAUGACCUCUCGGUUUUCCUCACCUCCGGUUGUAGGAAGCCAUGUUUUAGGCUGCAUAUAAGUUUAAGAUUUGCUUUUGAUUGGCUAGAUGUUAUUUCUCUUCUCUCCCUGCAGUCUUGUACUCAUUGGUCAACCUCUUCCCACCCUCUUUCCUCAUGUUCCUCCCAAGCCUCUAGUAACUAUUCCAAGCCUUUUCAUUUGGGUCAUCCACCAGCUCCCAAAUCAUGACAUAGUGCUGAAUGCUCGGCCUGGCUUAGGAACGUUUCUGGGUGGUGACAGAGUGUUACAGAGGCUGCAGUCUGAAGAGUUUAAAAAGUCAGAGGGCUGAUUCAGAUGCAAAGGGAGUGACUUCUGAUGGUCAGUGUUGAUUAACUCAGUUCAAGAGCUGCUGGAAGAGUGCAUGUCAACUUGAGACCUAGUACUGAACUGAACUGCAGAUGUUCUGGACCAUGAAGCCAGAACCUGGAAGCAACCUAGAUGCCAAGCAACAUUUACACUAUGCAG